CACGUAGGGGGCGAGCGUUGUCCGGAUUUAUUGGGCGUAAAGAGCUCGUAGGCGGCUCAGUAAGUCGGGUGUGAAAACUCCAGGCUCAACCUGGAGACGCCACCUGAUACUGCUGUGGCUAGAGUCCGGUAGGGGAGCAUGGAAUUCCUGGUGUAGCGGUGAAAUGCGUAGAUAUCAAGAGGAACACCUGAGGUGAAGACGGGUUGCUGGGCUGACACUGACGCUGAGGCGCGAAAGCCAGGGGAGCAAACGGG
rnacentral:rRNA from 1 species